UACGGAGGGUGCAAGCGUUGUCCGGAAUCAUUGGGCGUAAAGCGCGCGUAGGCGGCCCGGUAAGUCCGCUCUGAAAGUCCAGGGCUCAACCCUGGAAAGCGGGUGGAUACUGCCGGGCUAGAAUCCGGAAGAGGCGAGUGGAAUUCCUGGUGUAGCGGUGGAAUGCGCAGAUAUCAGGAGGAACACCAAUAGCGAAGGCAGCUCGCUGGGACGGUAUUGACGCUAAGGCGCGAAAGCGUGGGGAGCAAACAGG
rnacentral:rRNA from 1 species